UGCAAGUCGAACGGUAACGAUGGAAGCUUGCUUCCAGGCGACGAGUGGCGGACGGGUGAGUACAACUUAGGAAUCUGCCCAGUAGUGGGGGACAACUCGGGGAAACCCGAGCUAAUACCGCAUACGCCCUACGGGGGAAAGUGGGGGCCUUCGGGCCUCACGCUAUUGGAUGAGCCUAAGCCGGAUUAGCUUGUUGGUGAGGUAAAAGCUCACCAAGGCAACGAUCCGUAGCUGGUCUGAGAGGACGAUCAGCCACACUGGGACUGAGACACGGCCCAGACUCCUACGGGAGGCAGCAGUGGGGAAUAUUGGACAAUGGGGGCAACCCUGAUCCAGCAAUGCCGCGUGUGUGAAGAAGGCCUGCGGGUUGUAAAGCACUUUCAGUAGGGAAGAAAAGCAUAGGGUUAAUACCCCUGUGUAUUGACGUUACCUACACAAGAAGCACCGGCUAACUCCGUGCCAGCAGCCGCGGUAAUACG
rnacentral:rRNA from 1 species